GCCGGAGUGGUGGAAUGGCAGACACGAUGGAUUCAAAAUCCAUUGUCCUCACGGACAUGUGGGUUCGACUCCCACCUCCGGUA
rnacentral:tRNA from 1 species